rnacentral:rRNA from 1 species
CGACCGGCGCACGGGUGAGUAACACGUAUCCAACCUUCCGUUUACUCAGGGAUAGCCUUUCGAAAGAAAGAUUAAUACCUGAUAGUAUGGUGAGAUUGCAUGAUAGCACCAUUAAAGAUUUAUUGGUAAACGAUGGGGAUGCGUUCCAUUAGGUAGUAGGCGGGGUAACGACCCACCUAACCGACGAUGAUAGGUAGGGGUUCUGAGAGGAAGGUCCCCCACAUUGGAACUGAGACACGGUCCAAACUCCUACGGGAGGCAGCAGUGAGGAAUAUUGGUCAAUGGACGAGAGUCUGAACCAGCCAAGUAGCGUGAAGGAUGAAGGUCCUACGGAUUGUAAACUUCUUUUAUAAGGGAAUAAACCCUCCCACGUGUGGGAGCUUGUAUGUACCUUAUGAAUAAGCAUCGGCUAACUCCGUGCCAGCAGCCGCGGUAAUACGGAGGAUGCGAGCGUUAUCCGGAUUUAUUGGGUUUAAAGGGAGCGCAGACGGGUCGUUAAGUCAGCUGUGAAAGUUUGGGGCUCAACCUUAAAAUUGCAGUUGAUACUGGCGUCCUUGAGUGCGGUUGAGGUGUGCGGAAUUCGUGGUGUAGCGGUGAAAUGCUUAGAUAUCACGAAGAACUCCGAUUGCGAAGGCAGC